rnacentral:rRNA from 1 species
UACGGAGGGAGCUAGCGUUAUUCGGAAUUACUGGGCGUAAAGCGCGCGUAGGCGGCUUUGUAAGUUAGAGGUGAAAGCCUGGAGCUCAACUCCAGAAUUGCCUUUAAGACUGCAUCGCUUGAAUCCAGGAGAGGUGAGUGGAAUUCCGAGUGUAGAGGUGAAAUUCGUAGAUAUUCGCAAGAACACCAGUGGCGAAGGCGGCUCACUGGCCCGAUACUGACGCUGAGGCACGAAAGCGUGGGGAGCAAACAGG